rnacentral:lncRNA from 1 species
AUUAUGAUAAAAUUAGAUUUAGAUAUCCGCCAAGAUAUUAUAAAUAUAAUUUAAAAUGAAUAAAGUACAACAAUACAAAGAAUUAAAACAAAUUAUUUCUGAAAAACGUAAAGAAUUAAAAAUAAGAAUAAAAAGACUACAUUAUAAUAUAUUUGCUGGAGUUAGUAAAAAUUUAAUAAAUACACAAAAAGAUGAAAUAUCAAAA